rnacentral:rRNA from 1 species
AGCGAACGCUGGCGGCAGGCUUAACACAUGCAAGUCGAGCGGGCACUUCGGUGUCAGCGGCAGACGGGUGAGUAACACGUGGGAACGUACCCUUUGGUUCGGAAUAACGCUGGGAAACUAGCGCUAAUACCGGAUACGCCCUUUUGGGGAAAGGCUUGCUGCCGAAGGAUCGGCCCGCGUCUGAUUAGCUAGUUGGUGGGGUAAUGGCCUACCAAGGCGACGAUCAGUAGCUGGUCUGAGAGGAUGAUCAGCCACACUGGGACUGAGACGCGGCCCAGACUCCUACGGGAGGCAGCAGUGGGGAAUAUUGGACAAUGGGCGCAAGCCUGAUCCAGCCAUGCCGCGUGAGUGAUGAAGGCCUUAGGGUUGUAAAGCUCUUUUGUCCGGGACGAUAAUGACGGUACCGGAAGAAUAAGCCCCGGCUAACUUCGUG